rnacentral:tRNA from 1 species
GGUAAGAUGGCCGAGCGGUCUAAGGCGCCAGGUUAAGGUUAGCUUAACGAAUAAUUCCUGGUCCAGGUAACUGGGCGUGAGUUCGAAUCUCACUCUUAUCA